GACGAACGCUGGCGGCGUGCUUAACACAUGCAAGUCGAACGGAGUGGCGAACGGGUGAGUAACACGUGGGUGACCUGCCCUGCACUUCGGGAUAAGCCUGGGAAACUGGGUCUAAUACCGGAUAGUGUGGGAUGGGCGCGCGGCCUAUCAGCUUGUUGGUGGGGUAAUGGCUUACCAAGGGGGCGACGGGUAGCCGGCCUGAGAGGGGGGACGGCCACAAUGGGACUGAGGCACGGACCAGAAGGGUACGGUAGGCAGCGGUGGGGAGUAUGGCACAAUGGGCGGAAGCGUGAUGCAGCGGCUCCGGGUGGGGAAUGACGGCCUGCGGGUGGUGAACUCCUUUCUCCGUCGACGCGGUAGAUGGAGAAGAAGCACCGGCUAACUACGUGCCAGCAGCCGCGGUAAUUC
rnacentral:rRNA from 1 species